GCAAGCCGAGGGCCCUGCUGUCCUGCAGAAAUGAAGUGGAGAUGCCAGUUUAUGGGGGGAGGAAGAAUAUUGUUCUGCGCCCUGCUUACUCCAGUCACCGGGGCCUGCAAGAUUACUGGGUCAGCCCGCAGAGGCGCUAUUCAUCUGGCAGCACAUGGGCCACGCCCAGGCGGUGGCUGCUCAUCCUCCCUGGGAACACAGGGCUUUCUGAAGUAGAGUCUGUCCACUGGCCAAGCUGCUGCGGAUUGAAACACAACCUGGUAUGGAAAUAUCGCUGGCAAAAUCUCAACCAUUACUACCUGGGCAAGAGAGUUCGCCACUUCAUGAGCCUGUGACCUGCCACCCCUGAGGGGGUCACCAACCCAGGAAAAGUUCCCAACGGCACCUGCUUGAUCCCCAAGACGGAGAUAUGACUCCAAGUGGAGCAGCCCCUCCUCUGCUCCCCGGACUCCUCCCUGACGCCUUCUGGCUGGGACUGAGGCUCCUGAACAGAGUGGCUCACCGGGCCUUGGCUGGCUGAUGGUAAUGCUGCUUGCAA